GACGAACGCUGGCGGCGUGCCUAAUACAUGCAAGUAGAACGCUGAAGAGAGGAGCUUGCUCUUCUUGGAUGAGUUGCGAACGGGUGAGUAACGCGUAGGUAACCUGCCUUGUAGCGGGGGAUAACUAUUGGAAACGAUAGCUAAUACCGCAUAACAAUGGAUGACACAUGUCAUUUAUUUGAAAGGGGCAAUUGCUCCACUACAAGAUGGACCUGCGUUGUAUUAGCUAGUAGGUGAGGUAAUGGCUCACCUAGGCGACGAUACAUAGCCGACCUGAGAGGGGGGACGGGCCCACUGGGACAGGGACACAGGCCAGACUCCCACAGGGGGGAGAAGAAGGGGAACUUCUGGAAAGGGGGGAAAACCGUGCGAGAGAAGCCCCGGGAGUGUAGAAGAGUUUCGGGUCGGAAAAAGCUGUUUUAUAUGAAAAACGGGUGUGAGAGUGGAAAGUUCACACUGUGACGGUAGCUUACCAGAAAGGGACGGCUAACUACGUG
rnacentral:rRNA from 1 species